AACGAACGCUGGCGGCAUGCCUAACACAUGCAAGUCGAACGAGACCUUCGGGUCUAGUGGCGCACGGGUGCGUAACGCGUGGGAACCUGCCCUUAGGUUCGGAAUAACUCCCCGAAAGGGGUGCUAAUACCGGAUAAUUUCUUCGGACCAAAGAUUUAUCGCCUUUGGAUGGGCCCGCGUUGGAUUAGCUAGUUGGUGGGGUAAAAGCCUACCAAGGCGACGAUCCAUAGCUGGUCUGAGAGGAUGAUCAGCCACACUGGGACUGAGACACGGCCCAGACUCCUACGGGAGGCAGCAGUGGGGAAUAUUGGACAAUGGGCGAAAGCCUGAUCCAGCAAGGCCGCGUGAGUGAUGAAGGCCUUAGGGUUGUAAAGCUCUUUUACCCGGGAUGAUAAUGACAGUACCGGGAGAAUAAGCUCCGGCUAACUCCGU
rnacentral:rRNA from 1 species